GCGAGCGUCUGCGCCGCGGCCUCCCUCGCCGGCCCUGCGCCUCUCCUUCCCGGGGCCCGGGGCCGCCCCUGCCUCACCCGGAGUAUCGGGCGGAGGCGCGGCCUGGGCAGCCCGGGGCCGGGCCCGGGGCGCGACGGCGAGGUCGGUGCGGGGCCUGGGCGUCCGGCCGCGCCUCGUGGCCGCUCCGCGCGCCCUCCCGCCCGGCCUGGCGGCUGGCGGCGCAGCGCCUCCUCCCAGGAAGCCAGCACCCCGGGGAGGAAGGAACCGGGGCUGACGCUGGGAAAAGCCCGCCGCGCGCCUGGCCGAAGGAGAAGAAAACAAGACCCAAACCUGGUGACUUGCCCUCAGUUCCUUGGCGAUGACAACUUAAAGUCCUUCACAGAGAAGAACUGGUGGCUCGGGAUAAGACUAACAGCUGAACUGCUAGCAAAAAGCCAUAAGAACUUGAGCAGAGACUCAAAUCCACAGUUCUCUGCAUGGAGGAGUCUGACACCAGUGAGAUCUCCACCACAUAGGCGCUUGGCUGCUCCAGGCCACACUAGAAAGACAUUGUCAAGAAGCAGACAACUUCAGCUUAGUUUGCAGACUUUUGAGAUUUUUUAAAAUAGUUGUGUUCAAUGGGGAAGUGAAAAAAUUAUCUUCCUAGCCUUUCCUCCACCCCAUUGUUUCCUGCUGCAAUGGCUUGCUCCUUGUGCUCCCUGAGUGUGUGCCUGUGCUAUUAGAGGCCGCGUGGUGG
rnacentral:lncRNA from 1 species